rnacentral:rRNA from 1 species
UGGGGAAUUGUUCGCAAUGGGCGCAAGCCUGACGACGCAACGCCGCGUGGAGGAUGAAGACCUUCGGGUCGUAAACUCCUUUCGACCGAGAAGAAUGGCCUACGACCUCAUACGUCGUAGGCAUGACGGUAUCGAGGGAAGAAGCCCCGGCUAACUCUGUGCCAGCAGCCGCGGUAAUACAGGGGGGGCAAGCGUUGUUCGGAAUUACUGGGCGUAAAGGGUCUGUAGGUGGCCAACUAAGUCAGACGUGAAAUCCCUCAGCUUAACUGGGGAACUGCGUCUGAUACUGGAUGGCUUGAGUGUGGGAGAGGAAUGCGGAAUUCCAGGUGUAGCGGUGAAAUGCGUAGAUAUCUGGAGGAACACCGGUGGCGAAGGCGGCAUUCUGGACCACAACUGACACUGAGAGACGAAAGCCAGGGGAGCAAACGG